rnacentral:lncRNA from 1 species
CCUACCCUUAUCUGAUUAUAAAACCUUACCCUUUUUAGACCUAGAGACAUAAGGAAAAGAAGGACAGAAUGCUCCUCCUCUGAAAGAACAUAGAGCAACGGUGCAAAGAAGUAAAAUCGGAGACCCCCUACCUUCUUCUUCUUGAUUUUUCUCCAGACCUAAUCAAAAAGAGACUUGAAAUAGUCGGACCUUCCCCUCCAGAAAAGAAAGAGAACGUCGCUGCUCUUCUUUCCUCCUCCAUCUCCAGACCUCUCCCAUAACCAAAAAAUGACCCACUUUUCUUCUUCACUCACAUACAUACAUGCGAUACCAAUUCAUAUCUAAAAAUCGAGUCUAGCUUUGAAAAUUGAAAGAGAGUUUAAAAAAAAGAACAAAACCAAAACAGAAAACAAAGGAAGACUUGAAUGCUAUUCGAACUUCUGCUUUUUUUUUUACUUCAAUUUUCCGGAAUUUCGAGUGGUAUUGGAGCUAUAAGAAGUGUUGUUUGCUGUUGAUUUUCUGCUCCGAUUCUGUUGAUUACUCGGCUCUUGCUUAAAACUUUCUUUAGCUGCUUUCAAGAGUUGUGGAAUCCGAAUAUGCUGCUGCUCUUCCCUAUUUGAGUUGUUUGAGCUUUAUCUUAAUGUUUUGGACCUUUAUUUGUCCAUCGACAUUUGUUAGAUUGAUUCAUGUGCGCUAGGUAUGUACUGAAAUUUUACUUUUCUUCCAGAUAUUUUAUAAUAUUAGAACGUAUGUGCCUUCGGAUUGUCGCUGCAAUUUUUCUGAAUUUAUUAGCUUCAGUUUUAGUUGAGUUUUAAAAACAAACGAUAUCUAGACUACUGUAAAGUCGUCAUGGGUCCAAAAGUAAUUGAAGUUACAAUAUUAGUAGUACUCAUUUUGAAGUUAUGAACAUUAUUUUAAAUACUGUUGUUAGUGAAUUAGAUAUUAUAUUGUCUACAUGUGUAUAUUAGCCCAUUUUACUUUUCUGAUUUGUAUUGUGAUAAGAGUGUCACACCUCCUUUUUGCGCGCCCUGCCCUGAAGGAUAAAUGCACGAGGGGAGUUUUUCCAAUUUAAGUGACAAUAUUCGAAAUAGGAUUAUUUAUUUAAUUCAGAGUCGCCACUUGGGAAAGGUUUGGUUUUCGGUGUCCCAAGUCACCGGUUUNNNNNNNNNNNNNNNNNNNNNNNNNAUGUGACCCCGAAUUUAAGAAUGUAAUUUAAUUAAUUCGCGCCUAAAGAGUCUAACGCGUUAUUAUCUUUGGGGGAAGACCAUGAAAUUCACUAAACAGUCCCUCCCGAAUUCUAAGUAUUUAUUAUGAUCAAUUAUUGAGGGCCCCACAACGUGCAUCUUUAUUUGACGAGGCUCGUCUCAUUAUUUUUAAAAGGGAUAUCCUAAAGUGACUACAUUUCUAUUAUGUUUGUCUCUAAAAAUAGAAAAAAAAAAGAUACGUGCUAAUUUAAUUGCAUGCUUUGGCCAACUCCGGAUUCCUGUUAAUCAUCUAAUUAAUUGUUUACGAGAUGAAGAAUGUUAUACCUUAUGGAACAUGCUUUUAACUUGAUAAAAAUUACAUACAAGCUGAUGAAACGCUACACUUACUCCAAACAUUUCUUGAGUUGAAUUUAACUAAACUUAUUUAGACUAGAUUAAGGGAGUUAACUACUAGAAAUUGUUACUAAUGGGAUUCAAACGUGACCCUACAUACUGCCUAACGGGACCCGAUAAAAGGGCUUAAAAUAAAACAGAGCUACGUUGUAUUUAAUAAGGUUGAAGCAUUCUACCCUAUGCAUACAAUUAUAGCUGAAAAAGAAUCUAGUCAAUCACUAUGUCAACUAUCCAUGCGUUCUAUAGAUUGCACAAUUACGUCCUUCGUACCAACAAACAACUAUAAACCAUAAUAAAAAAAGACUAAAACUUUAGUUAAGUAUAAAUUAACUAUCCUUUCAUGCUAUUGAAUUACAAACUAGCCAGUUACACGAGCCCAUCAAUAUACCAUGAGUAUUACAACAAGUAUUUAAACUUCUUCAACAUCUUUCAUUUCAUGCUUUCAACUGUUACAGCUACACCAAUAUGGGACUCAAAAUGUGUACCUGGGAUGCUGAAAAUGCAAAGGAGAAGAGGAAGAAGAUAGGGAAAAUCAGCAGCAGCAGGAACAAGAUAGCAACAACAAACAAAGCAACACAGCAGUAAAGACAACCCUAGGCAAGAAUGCAACUAUAGCUAAUGGAAAAAAGUAGCAAAAUGACAGCAACACACAGUGGAGUAGAGUCAGAACUCCAGAUAGACCAAAUCCAGGAACAAACCAAUGAAACCAAACAACCGGUAAACUCAGUUGGGGCUUGGAAAAAUCAGUAUUGAUUAAACAUGUCGAAACAAGUGAAAUCAAGACAACAAUGAGAAGAACAGUUUCUGAUUCUGUCUGUGUGUUUUCUAUCUCUCCCCCCUAUCUGUCUGUGUGUGUUCUCUUUGUAUGUGUGUAUUUUUGUAUUUCUGUGUUAUGCUUCUCUCAAUGUGUAUCUGAUGUUUUUCUUCUAAAAAAUCUAUUCCCUCUUCUAAAUUCACUUCUCAAUGUGUGUCCAUGUAUAUGCCUAUCUAUUUUCUAUCCCCCUGCUUUUUGAUUUUUUUUUCACUAAAUGGAAGCUCCUCUUAUUUAUAGCCUAGCAUCAGGCCAUUUACAGCUUGUUAAACAAAUCAGAACCCCCUCUUUUCUGCUGUUUUUCCACUCAAACUUUUAAAAGUAGAACCCCUCCCAUGAGAUUCCCUGACAGCCCUUUUAUCACCUUAUUAAACUAAAACAAGGGUAUGGAUAGCCUGGAGAUGGCCUGACAGCACAUGCUGUCCCAUUUGCUCUAAUUAUUAAAGAACUAUAGUGCACAUGCUAUCAAUUCAGAACUCAAACUGAACUGAAACCACAAACUAAACUAUAAAUGUUUCUGAUUCAAAUCCACAAAUAGCUAUACUUAGUUCCCAGUUGGAUUCAGACAGAACUUCACACAAAAACCAUAAUAUGAAUCAGAUUAUUACCAUUCAAAGUUAAACUAAUUGGCGACGUAUAUCGACUCGACCAUACUAAUUGUAACAUAUACAAUUGAAGCCAAUGAUCAGAAAUCCAAUAGUAUCAACAUGUGAUUCAAAUUGUACUGACUAAACAAGGUUGCACUGGGGACUAAUUAAUCAACCAAAUUUAAUUUCAAUUGAUUGUACAGCUUACACACAUACACACGAUCAGUAAAUGCAGAGAAACUUGACCAAAUACAAAAAUCUGGGCAAAGUGGACAGAACAGUUGACAAAAAUUCAAAAAUAAAUCAACUAAACAUUUGGACAUGUGAACAAACAUUCAAUUACAAAAAACACAUGAACUGAUAAAAAAAGAAAGCAAAAAUACCUUAAAAUCUUGAAAAAUCAAACAGGCGCUAACUCGGAUUUGAAUCGACCUUUCUUGGGGUUGAACAGACUUUAAUCGAAGUGUUCUCAACUGAGAACACUUUGAUUAAGGUCCAUUAGACCCUAAUCAUCUGGUUCAAACGGACACAGAUCGGACAUCAGGACUUCUAGGGUUCCUAAGGGCAGAUUUGGCAUUUGAGUUAUCCUGGUUGGAUUCGGACCAAACCAAACCUGGUUUGGUCAUGAGGGAGGUCCGGGGAGUGUCUAGUAUGAUUCUGGGGUGGGUUGGUGUAGAUCGAAGUUCUGCUCGAAUCUUCAAAUGAAGAUUCGAGAACCUAGGGACUGAUUCGAACCAAGCGGUUGGUGGAUUUGUGUUCAGGGUGGUUGAGUGGUCCUAGGGUGUUAAGGUGGUGGUCACCGGUGUCCUUGCCGCCGGGUUUAAUGGUGAAGGGAAAGGGGGCGGCGUUAGGGUUCUAAGGGAUUGGGGUUUGGUGAGGACGACCUAAGGGCAGAGGGGGUCUGGCUAGGGGGUGUGGGGUAAAGGGAUGGGCUUAUAUAGUAGAUGAGUGAUCAAAUCCUGGCCGUCGGAUAGAGUGAGAUGAAGGGCCAGGAUCUUUCAGCUGGUGAGGAACGGUGUCGUUCCAACUUAAAGGGGGUUGGGUCGGUCUGGGUGGAAUGGGUCGGGUCCAAACAACGGGUAGGUGUAUGUGAUAUUGGCCGUUGAUCAUUCUGAGAUCAACGGCCCAGAUCAAGCAAUAUCAAAACUACGUCGUUUGGAAGCCCCUGGGGUCAUCUGGUCUGGACCGGGCAAGACACAUGUUUUGGGCUUGAUUUGGUUCAAUUGAGUCGGCCCAAUUCUAAUUUCAAACCCAUUUUCUUCUUUUAAUUUGAUAAAAAAAAUGAAAUUCCUAAUAAAAUGUAAAAACCAAAAAACUAAAAAUCACACAAAUAUUAAUUAAUACUCAAACAACAAUUAUCACUCACAUUAAACAUCCAAUUGAAAUAAAAUCACUUAACGACAAAAAAAAUAGAAUAAAAGAUGCAUAUUUGUGAUUUUCUUUUAUAACCGAAUUAUGGUUUAACUACACACGACAUAUAUUUUUUAUAUUUUGUUUGAAAAAAAAUAAAAAUGGACAAGAUCACCAAUAGCUCACAAAAAUGCCACGUAAAUUCCAAAGAUUGUACAGCAAGACCAUUUGCUAUUAUUUUUAUUUCUUUUGGAGUGAUUGUCGCGUAAAACAAAAAUCACAUGCUCACAAAGAGAAUGUGAUAUUUCUUUUGGGUUGGUAAUUUGUCGGUUUGUGAUGCUUUAACCAAGAACUAGUGUGUGGACAGAAGUGUUCAAUUCUUUGGAAAAUUGAAAUAAUGAAUGUGCUAUACCAUAUACAUUUAGUAUCUUACCAUCUUGAAAUGAUAUAAUUUAUUGUUAGCUUACUCCAACUAGCUUAAUAUUCUUGUACUCCAAACGCAUCCACAUCCAUAAUUCAUGACCUUUCACAAAUUGCCCGAACUUAAAAAAAUGAAUAACUUAUGAAUAUCGUAGCAUACUUUAGGCGCGAUUAAUAAACCAUCGUGAUUAUGGGUACGGUUCCUGUGACAUAAUUACGAUGCCUAAUUCCAUAAUUCGAGUGUGCAUUUCAUGUGACCCGAUCGUAACAACAUUGAACAAUAAUAAAAUAAACAUAUCGUGAAUCGUGGGUGCAUUUUAUGUAGCGUGGUUUGCAAUGUGUUCCCAAAACGGCAAGUGUACGACAAUCGUAACUUGUUCAAGAAAUAAUUUCAUAAAUCCUAAAAGCGGUUUAAAAUAAAUAAAAGCAGUUAUAAAGUUAAAAAAGCACAAUAGGUUUAAAAUGUGUAGUAAAUCAGAUAAUAGGCCAAUUAUAAAUAGUUUAAGCGACCGUGCUAGAACCACAGAAUCCGAGAAUGCCUAACACCUUCUCCCAGGUUAACAAAAUUCCUUAUCUAGAAUUUCUGGUUCGCAAACUUUUAAAUAAAGUCGAAAAUUUCCUCGAUUUGGGAUUUUAAAAUAAAUUGGUGAAUUGGGACACCAAAUAAAUUAUUCCAAUUGGCGACUCUGAAAUUAAAUAAAAUAAUCCAAUUUCGAUUUAUGUCACUUUAAUUGGAAAAACUCCCUUAUAUUACCCUCAGGUGGUAAAAAGGAGGUGUGACAAUUUUAAGUAUUGUAACCCCAUUCUCUUAUUUAUUGCCUCCUCUAUGUUAUAGUGGGGUUAUUUAACUUGCCGGGGUGGUUGGUUUGGUUUCGAGUGAGUUUCAGAGUGAAUUGGGACACUUAGUCCCAAAGUUGGAAGCUCAAUUUGAAAGAGUUGAUUGGAGUUUGACCAUUGUGUAUACGACUUUGGAAUGGAGUUUUAAUGGUUUUGAUAGCUUCGUAUGGUGAUUUUAGACUUAGGAGCGUGUUUGGAUAUUGAUUUGGAGGUACGUAGGUCGUUUUGGCUUGAAUUGGCGAAAGUUAGAAAGUUGAACGUUUGGAAGAUUGAGAAGUUUGAUCGAGAAUUGACUUCAUUGAUAUCGGGGUCAAAUUCUAAUUUCGGAAGUUGGAAUAGGUCCGUUGUAUCAUUUAUGACUUGUGUGCAAAAUUUGAGUUUGAUCGAGAUUAGUUUGGUAUGAAGCGGCGUUAGUUUUAGAAGUUGGAUGUUCAUGGUUUCAAUAGGUUAGAAUUGGGUUGCAAUUCGUUGAAUCAAUGUUUUCUGCGAUUUUAGGCUUCGAGUAAGUUUUUUAUGUGUUUUGGAACUUGAUGGUAUGCUUGAACGGGGUCCUGGGGGCCCCGGAUGUGAUUCAGAUUGAAUCCGGGACCUUCUGCGACUUGGUAGGAAAUCUGCCCCGCUGAAGAUCUGGUGCAAUCGCACCCGUACAUUUGGGCCACAUGUGUGGUACUACAGAUGCGGCCUGUGAGUCGCAAAAGCGAUUUGGGCCAGGUGAGUUGUGACCGCAGUUACGGUCCUUCAUCCGCAGAAGCGGACUCGCAUAAGUGAGCCAUGGUCCGUAGAAGCGGAACUGCAGAAGCGGUUUGUGACUGCAGAAGCCGAAGGUCCUGGCUUAAGUGACAGAUGCACAUGCGAUGGAAUUUCUGCAUGUGUGGAGUAGCAGAUGCUGCUAUUUGUCCACAGAAGCAAAACCACUGGCCAAAAAAGGUGCAGAUCGAGGCUUUUUUCCCAUUUUUCAUCUUUUGAGUUAGAGAUCUCAGUUUUGGACGAUACUGAUAGAUAUUUUCACAGAGUUAAUUGGGGUAAGUUAUUUUUACUCGGAUUUGAUUAUUGUAUAUGAAUCCAUCAUUGUUUUUACCAUUUAAUUAUUAUUUUGAGUUGGAAAAAUUGUGAAAAUUUCCUAAGCUAUAUUUUGAGGAUUUGAAGGUCGAUUGAAGUCGAAAUUGAAUAAUUUUAGUAUGGUUGGACUCAUUAUUGAAUGGGUAUUCGAAUUUUGUAAGUUUGGUUGGGUUCCGAGACACGAUCCUUUGAGUUGACUUUUUGAUUUUCUUUAAAGAUUGCAACUUUAUUAUUCGGAAUAAUUUUCUAUGGUUUGUAUUUAUGGUGUAAAGUUAUUUUGGCUAGAUUUUAGCCGUUCAGAGUUGAAUAUUUGUAGAAAAAGCUUACUAGUGGAUUGAAUUAGCUUGUUUGAGGUAAGUAUCUUGCCUAACUUAGUGUGGGGUUAUUACCCUUUAGGAUUGGAGUUGUUUGUGUUAGUUGUCAUACAUGAAAGGUGUGUACCCAAGGUGACGAGUGGGUACACGCGCUAUCUGUGGUAAUUAACCGGUUUAGACUAUUUAGAUUCUUUUCAUGCCUUUAACCGUAUUGUUAUAAUAUAUUAUAUCAUUCAUCGUUAAAUUAUCCUUACAUGCUUUAUUUGACAUGGUUAAAUGUUUGUCCCAUCUUUUACUUGUCAAUUGCGCUUACAUGCUUAGUUGAUGUUCUUGUUUCCUUAUUACCUUGUCAAUUAUUUAACUGUUUAUCAACCUUACUCCAAAUUGUUAUCUCUUGGAAUAUCUUCAUGUUGAGUGUUGGUGUUGAAGUUGUAAAAUUCAUUAUCAUAUUGAGGCAAAAUUGUUUAUUGUUGAAAUACCAUUCUUGUUAAGCUAUUAAAUUUCAGUUUGCUAUUGUUAAGACUGUUGUACACAUUGUGGUUGAGCCAAGGGCUGUUUAUUGUAAAAACAUUAAUAUAGUUGAUUCUUUUGGCAAGUGGCAGUAUUUGGGCUCUUGAGGUGCGAGUUAUGAUAUGUUAAAAUAUUGAUACGCAUGCGAUGGUAUAAGGAUAGUGGUUGAUACACAUACGGUGAGAUAAGAUGGUCUUGACAUGCAUGUUACUAGUAAAGAAACUAUUUGAAUCCACGCGGUGUGAUAAGAUGGGCUAAAACGCGGGUAGCUAUUUCGGAAAAAUGAUUUUCAAAACUAUUUGUAAAGCUCCCGCGGUGAUAUAAGGAAAAAAUUGUGAUUGUGAAUGUGAAAUGAGAUACAAGGCGGUACCUCAGGCAUGAUUCUUGUUUUUAUUUUUCAUUUACAUCAGUUGUGCUUAUUCCGCAUCGUUUCCUUGGUAUUCUUAUUAUGUGUUCCUCCCUUGAUGCCUUUAUUGCCUUAAAUUCAGUGUAGCUUAUCUUGCUGUAUUUCUUCAUUGUAUCAUUUCCUUGUUUCCAUUAUUGUACUGUACAAUACCCGUUCAUCUUAUAUUAUUAUUCUAGUAGGUUUCUUAACCUAACCUCGUCACUACUCUACUGAGGUUAGGCUUGAUAUUUAUUGGGUACCAUUGCGGUGUACUCAUACUACGCUUCUGCACAUCUUUUUGUGCAAAUCUAGGUACCUCAUACCAGGUUAGGCACCAGUGAGUUGAGCUUUUAGAUCGGAGACUUCAAGGUAUAUCUGCGGCAUUCGCAAAUCUGUAGCCCAACCUUCCAGCCCAAUCCAAGUAGCCCUUCUAAAAUCUGGACGCAACCUGUUUGAAAUAACCCGCCCCAGUCCCUUUAAAAUCCUGGUCGUUGAUCUUUGUCGUUGAUCUUAAGAGAUCAACGGCCCACGAUUAACCCCCUCUUUUAAUUAUCCACCCAACCCUAAUCCUCACAUUCACUCUGCCCAACCACCCUAAAACACUCUCCACUCCCUUCUCUUUCAUUAAACCUAGUUGUCACACCCCAAUUCCUCUCCGAUUCCAACCUAGAGAUGGAAUCUACUUAUGAUAUACUUACCUUACUAAUAUUUUCUCAUUAUUGAUCGUCCAUUUAUGGUGUUACUUAGGUGCUUGCCUAAAUUUGGCAAGUAUCACUUCUGAGAUCGGACUAAAAUGGCUCAAAUCUUUGAUCUUGGUCAUUAUUCCGUCUAUAUACGCUCAACAAAGAGAGAUUUGCACUCUUGGUUUGAGUUUCAGACGAUUGAACCCAAUUAUUUGAGGCUCCCCAUCUCCUUUACUGAUUUCGAUUUGCAUGUGAUAUUCUCUUUCCUUAUUUGUGCUUAAUUGCUUGUUUUCCAUAUUUGUUCUUUCAAUUUCUACUACUAUAUAAACCCCUCCCAAUUCCCCUUUAAGACAGACCUUUAAUCGCUAGAUUUCACUAAAAAUUGGAGCUAUUACUUUAUUGUUCUCUCAUUCUCUAGUUCUAUACCUUGAUUCUUGGCCGGCUGAAAGCCAAGGCCACCGGAAUUCGAUUUUUUAGCCUUUUUUUGAUGCGAGCACUGCUCGGGGUUCUUGUUCUUAAUUUCUUGACACAUUAAGAUUAUGGGUUCUUGUUCUUUGUUGAUAUUUAGAACAUUGUGGAAUUUGUUCUUUGUUGUUGUUCGUUUAACUGGUAAGUCAUUUGGAUUUUAUAACUUUUCUUAUGUGUUCAUGAUUCACAUAUUCUAUCUCUGAAAUUCAUGGCCUAAUGUAUUUUUGGUUUGCUUCUGUGUGCACCCUUGGAAGCUUUGCACUUGUUUUGAACCCCUUUAGCAUUUAAUUUCACCUAAGGCUAUCAGUUCUGGGAUGUUAUUUAAAUAUGCUUCACCUAAAUGAUUUAGACCCUCUUAAGUUCAAUGUGUUGAUACCUGAAUGUCUACAUUUGCAAUUUUAAAUGAGCUUGCUUUCCUACUCUAUUCUAAAUUCCUAUAAUGGCUAACUCGCAUCUGUAAUGUGUUAUAAUCUAUGUUAAGAUCUUCACUAUCAACUAUGACUUGCUCCCGUGUCAAUGUGUUCCUCAGCAUGCCUUUGGUUUGCAUGAUUCUGUAGCAUCAAUGAUUAUUUGGGACCUUUGGAAUGACUAUCUUAAUUUGUGUUUCCCUACCAUGUUUGAUAUUGUUCUGCUUCAUGAUAUAAGUUAACAUGGAUGUCUUAUGAUAUAGUGAUGAAUCCUUAGCAUAAUUUAGACCCUUAAGCUUUAAAUCUUCAAAGUUAGUUCCCUAAUUAGACUUGUUAGGUAUUAUGCACCUUUGUAUGUUAAUCUUGUAAUUUUAGGGAAUUUGUUCCUGCCCUAAAUAUUUCAAUGUGUUUCUACCAAUAUGUCACUUCUUGCUUAGUGUUGAACUUGUAAUAUCAACUUGCCUCUAAAUCUUGUUGACCUUCUUAACUAGCAUGAUCAAUUAUGUCAUGUUCGCUUCUAAAACUAUAAGUGCAUCUCUUGAAAUUUUGUCCAUUAAUCAUUGUUCUCUCACUCUCAUCCAUUAUCUAUAGUAUUUUGAAUCUGUCACUCUUAGUCAGCUGAAAGCCAAGGCCACCAAGACUUUCAUUAUUAACCUCCCUAGUGUGAGCACUGCUCGGGGUCCAUUUGAGAGCCUUGUGAACUCUGACACACUAGGACUUGAGGUUCUUUGGCCACUCUCCUUACUACUGAGACUUGAGCUAUCUCUAAUACUCAAUUCUUUCCUCAUUCUAUCUACUGAAUAUGCAAACUGGUUUGUUUAAGUGAUUUAAUGUAUGGUCAUGUGGUCAAUCUAUGGUUGUUUUGUUUUGGCUUGGGUUCCUCUAUGAUUUCUAGGCUAUGCUGAUUAAUAUGGUCCUCUGUUGGGAUUUGGGUAUGCUAUUUGUGAAAAAAGUCUGUUGAAGGCCCAAGCAAUACUGGCUAUCUCCUUUUGGGCUUGUUAUAGGCCUACUGCUAGUGCUUGUACAAUUUUUGUAAUUACAUUCAUCAUUGGGUCUGUAAUAACUUUGUAAUAAAUAAUUGGGGGUGUUAGUGAAAUUGGGAGAAUGGGUAUACUCUAAUAUUUACAUGCAAGGGUAGAAAAUAUGCCCAUAGGAUUCAUGUGAUUUACUUGUUAUCUGACUUGCUGUAUAUGCCAUUUAACUUCUACUGGUAGAAACCAUGCCUUUAGGAGACCCACACACUCACAUAACUUGUCUACCAUCAAAGCACGGGUGUAAACACUCAAUUUAUUCUACCGCUAAGUGUUACUAGACAGCAUACGAGAAAUAAAUGCCAAUGAACUUUCUUUAGAUUUGUAUAAAUAUAGCAUAUUCAUUAGAUACCAUGCCUAUAGGAUCCCACUAGCUUAUGUUCUCUUGAUUUUCACCUAGAAAUCAUGUCUCUAUGACCUUAAUUAACCAAUUAGCUACUGCUAUUGUUAUCAUAAUGCUCCGCCUAGAUAACAUGCUUAUAGAGGUAAAUUGUUAUAAAAUCGAAGUUCGAUUGUCAAUUGCUAGAGAUCUUGCCUAUAUGACACUGUCACUCGCUUAAUAUUGUUUAUCCAUUUGUCAAGGCUGGGUUCCCAGAACUAUUUUCUUUUGCUUAGCUACGCUACCACUAGAAAUCAUGCCUAUAGGACAAUGUCACCUUUCUAAAACUAGUAUCUAAAAAUAGUGUUAACAGCCUUAAAGCUCACAAAUGGUCUACUGCCUCCUCGUCGAAGCCACUAAAAUCUCACAUACAAACCAUGUCUAUAGGGCUUAAUAAUUUUUUGAUCGGCCUCAGAUCUGAAACUGCCCAACGUCUAAUAUGAGAACCUGUUUGGCGUGGAUUUGUUGCUUAAGUGUGGAGGCUAACUUGAGCCCUUAAAUGCCCAUAUUUGAAGUCCAAUUUGUUUUGUAUGUCGCCUAGUUUUCUCAUUUUUGAGCAGCAUAAGCAAAGUCUAGAACCACCCUAAGUAGAGGUCUAAUGCCUCCUGGACCAUAUGCAUGGGAUGGGUAGUGCACGCAUAGGCAUGACUUAGAAUUGAAUUAGAGCUCUUUUAGGUAAACAACUUUAACAUAGUAAUCGGGUAGCAGGAGAUGAUAGUCUAUGCCCUCUGAAUAAUAUGAGUAACUCCCUACCUCAAGGGAGUUGUGAAUUAUUAUUUAUGUUGCAUGGGGUGAUCCUUUAGGCUAAAAAACUUAGAACCUCCCCCCCCCCUCCUUUCUUUUCUUUGUACAUUUAUUCAUCUAAUAUAGACAUUAUAGUUAUAUACUUGUGAUCCUUAUUUGUGUCAUAACAUAUUUAUUUGACCCAUACUCUCUUUGUUUAUCUUCCCUAAUUGUAAUCCACAUAUUCUUAAGUUCAACCGGGACCCAUAGUUGUGGACCUCGAAGAAUGCCUAACACCUUCUCUUUGAGAUAAUUUGAGCUCUUACCCGAUCUUUGAUGGCGUUAACUUGUCAAACAGAGUUAUCUGCAUGAUAGGUGCGUUAAAUGGCGACUCUUUUCUUCUUUUAACAACCUAUCUCCCUUCCAAAAGAGUUGUAACAUGUCAAAGAUUGCUUUCGCGAGAAAAUGGGGCAUGAUAGCAUGACGACUCUGCUGGGGAUUUACACUUAGGCUCUUAUCAUAAUAAACUUGGCUUAUGUGGAUUAUUUUCUUUGUUAUAAAAUGCACAUCCAUUUUCCACCUUUAUUUGUUUAAAUUUUGCUAUUACAUGCACACCCCUUUCCCUAUUCACCCUUAUUUGUUCAAAUCCUUUAUAACAUGCACAUCCCUUCCCUUUUCCACCUUUAUUUGUUUAAAUUUGUUGUAACAUGCACAUCCCUUCCCCGUUCACCAUUAUUUGCUAUGACUGCUCUUUAUUUUGUUUAGAGACUACUAUAUCAUGCCUCUCCCAUCCCUACUCCCUUAUUUACUCUAUUACAUUCUCGCACAUAUUCCACGAACUAACUUAUUCCUUUCCCUUUCUUUUAUGUUGUUCAUGUUUUACCUUAAUACCGUAUUUACUGCUUUUACAUAUUUAUCAUGCAAAUAUUUGGCAAUGUGUUAUUAUCUUGGCAUAAAGCAUGCUCUACAUCAUACGUCACUCGUGCCAAUUAUCAAUAUAGCGGCGCUUGAUGAGUGUUCGCGCUCUUCCAUAUUACCCCUUUUAAAUUGGAAAGGCUUAUUUGUGGUAGACUAGUCGAUCAGUGGUACAAUCAAUGGUCCCGUUCCUUUCCCUCUCAAGUUGUCCGCUUGAGAGUAUCGGUCUAGACCAUUCUAGAAACCUUACUCCAAUAUAAAAUGUACAUGCAUCAUGUUGAACCUAGUACGGGCUAGAACAUUAUUAAUGUGAUAGCCCGCUAAGAUAAGCCUUGUCCAAAGUCCGAGGGAUUUCCUCAAUCCCAAUGGACACUACCAUGUUAUGUGCAUUGCUUGGAGAAAAUAUGCCAAUAUGUUGAUCAUUAUUGUGUAAAUAGUCAAAUCUGGAGGGGGAAAGGGGUUAACAUUAUUUGUUUGCAGAAAAUGAAGCACGAAGUCCCCAGGUUCGGCAUGGUCCAAAAUAUCCCACCUAUGCUACUUGAUUGGUGGAAAAAUCUCGCGCCAAGCGACAAGAAUCACGUGAGAAGGGUCCUUGGUAAUUUUUCGUCUUUGCUAGACAUCCGACCAAAUAGGGCAUUGAUCGAGGCUGCUACUAUGUUUUGGGAUGAGAAAAGGGCCGUCUUCCGCUUUGGUGACAUAGAAAUGGCUCCUCUCCUAGAAGAAAUAGGAGGCUUUGCUAAGCUACCAUGGGAUAAUUCCGGCGCUAUUAGUGCCAGAGAAUCGCACCCCUCGCAAUUUUCUAAAAAUGCUAAGUUUCAAGAAAAAUGAUGAGUUGCUUUGUCUGAAGAAGUCAUACAUCCCAUUUGAAUUCCUUUAUGAGCGUUACAAGCACAAUAAGUCAUAUAUUCUUCAUCAUAAGGAACUCGCCAUUACUUCUUUUGGUUGGACGCACCGUCAAGUUUAUGUGUUUAUCGUCUACUUCUUGGGGCUGUUGAUAUUUCCAUGAAAGGGGGGAAGUAUUCAUACUCGCCUAGCCAUGGUCGCCAGAACUUUGAUGGAAGGCAUCGAGGGACAGGCCUAUACUGUCAUCCCCAUAAUUUUAGUUGAAAUGUACCACACUCUAGAUCAGUGCAAGCAGGGAUUCAGGCACUUCGAAGGUUGUAAUAUGCUACUACAAGUUUGGUUAUUGGAAUAUCUUCAGAGUGGAGAACGUCACCAAGAGCUUUUGCAAUGACCAUUGAAUGACUACAUAGCUUACCACCACCAUAGAAAAUGACAUUUAUCCCAGACAGGUUUGCACAGCCUGGAAAUGCUGUGAGUUGGGUGCGUUUCUUCAGCAAUCUGGCAGACGAACAGGUACGUUGGAUGUUUGAAUGGUUUCCAUCAGUGAGUUCAUCAUCAGGUCAAGAGAGACUACUCAUCUUCUACUGAUCGGGUUGGGGGGUAUCUAUCCUUAUGAUCCUAUAAGGGUAAUGAGGCAAGUGGGAAGAAAAUAGGUUAUACCUAGUUUUUCCAACAUGGUCCAUUACAAAGCAGAUUUUAAAGGGGACAUCAUUCCAUUCAAGUUCGAGGCACAACAUAUGUAGACCAAGAAGGUUAUUAUGGAAAAGGAUACCAUUGAGCCGGACAAAUAUCAUGUCGGUCAUGUGUAUUUCUACCCAUCAUGGCUGGUAGACGAUAUAGCAGGAGACGUCAAGCUGGGAAUUAAUUUAAAAAACAGGAUCAUAGAUGAUGCUACUGAAGCACAAGUCAAGUAUGGGAGGUUACGUAAAAGGGUCUUCGAGUCUGAAGCUAGGCAUCUAGAACAACACAAAGUGGAUAUGGAAACAAUCAACGAAUGGAGGGAAAUUUCCACUAAGUCAACAGAGAGAUUUGAAUAUUUGGAACAAGGGUUGAUUGAUCUUGAGGGAAAUAUGAGGAAAAGGCUUUCAGAUUGUAAAAACACGAAUGGCAAUGAAGGAGGGCAUCUAGCAAAUGCUUACCUAUUGUUGGAUAUGAGCGACCUGGGGAACCUGAUUGAUGGAGUCAAGAGAGAAAAGCACAGGGAAGGUCUUUUUGGGACCAAGUAGAUUAGAAAAUGAUGUUCUUUACUACUUUCUAGCUUAGUUUUAUAUUUCGAUUGUAAAAAGGCUAAAUGGAAUUAGUAACUUUCUUAUUAUUGUCGAUUUAGUAAGGAUUUGAUUCAUUUUUGCAUUAAUGAAAUGAUGCAAUUAUUGGCAUCAAUUUUCUCCGAGUCUAUGUGUCUCUUAGGCCUACCUCAGGCACCACGAGGUACCCCAAAUUAGGAUGCAGUUUAUUAUGUGAUUUUGCAAAACGUAUUUAAUAUUGCGAGCAUUCUUUCAAUACCCCUUACUGACUUGGUUACCUUUUGUUUGUUUUU